rnacentral:lncRNA from 1 species
GGCGUACCUAUCCACCUCGGACGUCCCCCCAUGACCUACCCCAUGAUCUAAAGACGCCACUGUAACAAGCUCCCUACCCGAAGUGGACUCCAUUUUUUCAGAACAAAGACAAUAACAACGGUUUUUUAUGCAAACAAUACCUAGAGGAGUUCAACACAAACGGAGACUAGUCGAAAUCUAAUCGCAGACAACCUCGACGCCGGAAAAUGGGAGAUUUGAGAGAAUUCGAGAAUGCAAAGUGUUCAAAAA